UCCUUUCUAAACCCCCCGUAAGCUUGGCAUAGGCACAUACGGCUACAGCAGCGGCACCGUAAGCCAUGCAUGCAUCCACCGCUUUAGCUACAGCGUCUCCACCUCCGUCCUACUAGUGGACCUCCGUCGUCUUCCUGCGCAUAACGCCAAGGUCAGAGCCCUCUCAGGAGUCAUGCACUUGGAUCUGCCGGCAUACGCUCCUCGUGGAGUCAGCACCUCCUACCCACUAUCGCUGGCGGCCAGCGACGCACAGGACGCUAAUGGAAAGGAAAGGUUACGCCAACAUCACAUGGCGUCGGAGACCACGAGCUGCCUCUAUAAAAAGGGUUCCGAGGCGAUCGAUCAUGGGUAACACAAACACACCGAGGCCAAUGGGAGAAGAGAGAGAGUACAGCCUCGGCAUGCCGCCAGUGAGAGUCCCAGGUGAAGGCUGUACCCUCUCUCUUCUUCUCUUGGCCUGUGAUGCAAGUCAUCUCUUCCUGUUUCUUCCAGGUACAGACAGUGUCAUCGAUCUGAAACAUGAAAUCUACACACAUCACAUGAGAAGUGCAAGAACUCUAAUCGCCUUUGGAUCUUCCUACAUCCAUCAGAGAAGAUGAGCUUUCUCUUUCUUACUUGUCUUUUUGGUUCAUUUCAAGAUCCUACACCAAUCGAAUUUAGGUUGGCAAUUGCAUACCAGUCUGUAACAUAAAUAUGGAGGAAGUCUAUUUGGUGCAAACUAACUACACACAGACAUAGAAUUAUGUUGGUUUCUUUUAUCUUGAAUUAAUUUGUUUGUGAAUUAGAUAAUAUUUUAUCACACCUAAUAUGACAAAUCAAUAAAUAAUUGGCUUUUGUUAUUGUCCUU
rnacentral:lncRNA from 1 species